CCUACAAUGGGCGAAAGCCUGAUGGAGCAACGCCGCGUGUGUGAUGAAGGUCUUCGGAUCGUAAAGCACUUUCGACCGGGACGAAAAAACCUCUGGCUAACAUCCAGGGGCCUGACGGUACCGGGAGAAGAAGCACCGGCUAACUCUGUGCCAGCAGCCGCGGUAAUACAGAGGGUGCAAGCGUUGUUCGGAAUUAUUGGGCGUAAAGCGCGUGUAGGCGGCUUGGCAAGUCAGAUGUGAAAGCCCAUGGCUUAACCAUGGAAGUGCGUCUGAAACUGCUGAGCUUGAGUGCCGGAGAGGAUGGCGGAAUUCCGCAAGUAGAGGUGAAAUUCGUAGAUAUGCGGAGGAACACCGGUGGCGAAGGCGGCCAUCUGGACGGCAACUGACGCUGAGACGCGAAAGCGUGGGGAGCAAACAGGAUUAGAUACCCUGGUAGUCCACGCUGUAAACGAUGAGAACUAGGUGUCGUGGGUGUUGACCCCCCGCGGUGCCGUAGCUAACGCAUUAAGUUCUCCGCCUGGG
rnacentral:rRNA from 1 species